rnacentral:rRNA from 1 species
AGUGAACGCUGGCGGUAGGCCUAACACAUGCAAGUCGAACGGCCGCACAGUAAGAGCUUGCUCUUACGGGUGGCGAGUGGCGGACGGGUGAGGAAUACAUCGGAAUCUACUUUUUCGUGGGGGAUAACGUAGGGAAACUUACGCUAAUACCGCAUAUGACCUACGGGUGAAAGCAGGGGAUCUUCGGACCUUGCGCGAUUGAAUGAGCCGAUGUCGGAUUAGCUAGUUGGCGGGGUAAAGGCCCACCAAGGCGACGAUCCGUAGCUGGUCUGAGAGGAUGAUCAGCCACACUGGAACUGAGACACGGUCCAGACUCCUACGGGAGGCAGCAGUGGGGAAUAUUGGACAAUGGGCGCAAGCCUGAUCCAGCCAUACCGCGUGAGUGAAGAAGGCCUUCGGGUUGUAAAGCCCUUUUGUUGGGAAAGAAAAGCAGCAGGUUAAUACCCCGCUGUUCUGACGGUACCCAAAGAAUAAGCACCGGCUAACUUCGUG